rnacentral:lncRNA from 1 species
AGACAACCUGCGGCGGCGGCGAGAGAGCACCGGGAUUCGCAGCCUAGCAGCCGAGCCAGACUCCCUGCGCCGCUGCCAGCCGGCUGGGGGCGGGGAGGGGGUCGCCUCCCAGGGGUGGGGACAGAGGGGGUGUGUUGAAAGGAAGAGGCUCAAUUAAAACCAACAAGAGCGCUUUCCUCCGUGCGGGGCAGGGGCGUGCGUUUGCGUCAGAGGGCGCGCGGGGGGCGGGGGCAGCCGAUGCUGGGGACUGCACCCGGGGGCUGGGGGGUCUCGGAAGCGAGGAGGCCUUGCCUAGCUGGGCUGGCCCGGGGUCAGGCCCUGUAGGUGAGGGCCAAGGCGAGACGGGAUGACAGCUGAGCCUGCCCGGGAGCAGAGGCGCCCACCCAUCCUUACUGUGGGCUCUCCGUGCCCCCACAGAGCUUUCAAACUUGAAAGAGGCCCCUGGGACCCGGCGUGACCCUAGCGGUGGGGAGAAGUUGGGCCCGCGAGGCCUCAGGCGAAGCCGCGGGCUCCUCCGGAAGGAAGGAGGAGGGUGAAGUCCCCUGUCCUAGUCCCAGGGGUGGGAGUGGGAAGCUGUUGGUGGUGAUGCCCGGAGCAGCGGAAGCCCGCGGCUUUUCGGAGGAGGGGAGCGGCUCGCACUCCUACGGGGCAUCCUUGCCAACUUUCUGUCACAAGAGGGGGCGGGGAGAAACCAAGGCUUUUCGAGGAGGGCGCUGUCCCCCUCUGGAACUCGUCCGGCCUGAGUGGCACUUAGAGCUCAGUUUCUCUUCGGAAGCCUGUGCUCCCCGACCGCGGUUGCACACCCACAGGGCGCCCCACUUGUGCUCAUAGCCCUGCCUCCAGCAAAAAUGUCUUCCCUAGAGGCACUGAGAGGUCAGCUUAGUUCCUGGGAAGCCCUUUCUUUCUUUCUUCAAGGCUCUCUUUUGAUACUGGUCCCAAUUGGCACACUUGUCCUGGGCCUAAUGCGACCCACACUCAACCAGGAAAUAAUGAUAUCUGUUGUUGUGGGGUAGGGUACCUAAUAGAAAACUGAUCAUAGUUUUCGAGAGUACUUAGAUCCCCCAAUUGGGAAAUCCUACAUACUUGUCCAGGCACGCUCAGCUGCAGGAGCAGAAAACGCAGUUGUAGUGUCCACGUUUCUUUCACCCACCCCCUCUUCUUCAGAUCUCUCUCCCUCCCUUCUAGGCCAGGCCUUUCACCUCGGAACCUUAAGCUGAGUCUGGACGUGGUUCUUGGACUCGGACCGCUGUGGCUCUUGCCUCAGCAUCCUACCCGAGGCCUCCAGCCAGGCCCACAGGGGCUCAGCCCUCUCCAGGGUCUCUCUUUCGGUUUGGCGGGUCUGGGAACUGUAAGGGCCUUGCCGGGGCCUGGGCUCCCGGGAGCCUCCCUUCCUUCCUCUGCCUUCCUGGUUCCCACAGACCUGUUCAGUGCACACUAGAUCUUUAGUGUAGUUCCCCAAAAAGGCGAUGAGAAGGUACCGCUCCGCUUGGGGAAAGGAAUUAGGCUGUAAGCCUAUAGUACCCCUUGCGGGCUGCUAGCAUCAAGCUCAGCGUUAAUCACGUUUUAAAAGACAUACCAGACAAAGCUUGAUCUCUCCCAGCUUGCCACCCAGUAAAUUGUGAUCUGGUGAGAGAGGAAGAGAAGCACAGAUCGGUUUGGCUGCACAUUCAGGGUUGACUUGCGUUCCAGGCCCCAGAAUCCGGAUCUAAGCGGACUGUCUGUCUGUUAACAUAUCCUCUCCCUCCAUAUCUUUCUUACCACGAGGCUGAACCAUUUUUCACUAAUUCUAUGGGCUUUUUUUGAUAUUGAUAUCUUGGUCUCCCGAAAGUCAUUCAUUUUAGCUUUUUGGUAAGUCACACUGAACAAAAGUGGCCUUGUAAAAACAUUUUCUAAAUCUAGUUCAAGAGCCAUGGGACCCUACAAAUGAUCAGAUAUGUGUAGGAAAUUCUCUUUUAUACCUCUUCCCUACCUCAAAAUCGUUAAAAAUGGUAUUAUUCUGUUUAGCAAGACCACAGAACAGAACUAACCCCGUUUUAUCGAGCCCAUCUGGAGAGAUGAACAUGCCUGCAAUCAUUGAGAAAAAGGGAUGAUGUGGUGGCCCAGGGUCAUGACUGGAUGUGUGAACAAGGGACAGGGACUGAGAAACGGAAAUACUACCAUCCUCCAGCCAAUCUGUUGGGAGGACUGCUUGCAGAGGACUCGUGCUCCAGAUGUUGCACUAGAGGCGCUGCAAGUGUGAGCAGCAGGUAGAUGAAACUCAAGAGAAAAGGUGUGGAUAAAUGAAACUAGCCCAUGAUGAACCUGUUUUCUCCGUGACCACAAUAUUAACCAGGAUGAAUGGCGGUGGCAGUGGGCCUGCAUCACAGGUUGCAGCAGAUGUUCUCAAUAUUUCUAUUAAAAUUUCCUUAUUUCCAUAUGCAAGAGGAGCCCCAGAGCUGCAUCCUUAUGGUAGCUACCAUGCCGUGAUGUAAGCUGCCAUUCACUGGGGAGCUUUGGCAAUAGAAUUGGCUAGAUCAGGAAGCCUAUGUCAACUAUGGAACAACAACUUGCAGCUCAUCUCUAUUGAUGUUAUUUCUUCCACUGACAUCUUGAACCCCUCAGUCAUCCAUGAGGCUUGGAAUCAACUUCUUCCAAACUCCUGCUCAUGUUGAUAUUUUGAUCUCCUUUUAUGAAACAUGGAUGUUUUAAUAGCAUCUAGAAUGAGAAAUCUUUUCCAGAAGGCUUUCAAUUGACUUUGCCCAGAUCCAUCAGAGGAAUCGCUAUCUAUGACAGGACCUCUAACAAUGAUAUUGGAAGAAUAGAUACUAAGUCUUGGAGAGGUGAAACAGUCGCAAAUGGAAUUCCAAGAAACAUUCUAUAUACACUGCCUCUAGGACUGGGACAGAUAGCCACUGAGUACCUGCUUCAAAUCACCCUGCACGUUUUCUCUUUGGAAAGAUAAGCACUGGAGAACCAUCUCGUUACCUUCAGCAGAAAUGGAAACAAAUCAAGACAUUAAGAAUGCCGCAGUGGACAGCAGUUAUGCAAGGUUCAGCAGAGGAAGUUUUCAAGAUGGUGUGCCUCACUAGCCAGAAAUCAGAAAAGAUCGAAGCUAGCCUUUUCAUCUCAGCUGCUCCUUAAAUCAGUGCAACCCCUCCAAAUUAAUGUGAAUUGAAACUUGCAUUGCUUUUCAACUUAAUUGAAUACUUACUAUAUGUGAACCACUGCACAAAAUAGGGGAAGAAGAUGUGGGAGACAAAGAUGUGGAGCCUGUCUUCAAUAAAUUUACAGUUAGUUUCAGGGUACAUUGUUUUUCUUCUGCUGUUAAUUAGGUGUAUCCCCAAGACAAUAAAUACAUGAAUGGAAAAGUAUAUUCUGUGUUUUAAGUCUCUUUAAUAAAAAACAAAACAAAAUCCAAAAAAACUCCUAACAUGGCAACUCAGGACAUUUUAAUCCUUUUUUUUGUUGUUGGGCUUCUGAUAGGAUCCAUUUUAUUGAUUCCAUAAAUAUUUAGUAGACUUUAGACAUAUUAAUACAUUGUAGUUUGAGUUAAUUUGCAUUAAAUUCUGUUUUUUUCCCCUUAGGUAUAGAUUGUCUGUUGGAAAAAUAUAUUGCUUGUGGAUUUCUUGGGGAGUGGGAAGGUGAAUUAUACCUGUUGUCUCUACAGUCCACUACCUUCCACACCCUAGGGCAGUGGUCCCCAACCUUCUUGGCACCAGGGAUCAGUUUCCUGGAAGACAAUUUUUCUGUGGAUGGUGUGGGGAUGGUUUUGGGAUGGAACUGUUCCACCUCAGAUCAUCAGGCAUUAGUUAGGCUCUCAUAACGAGUGCGCAGCCUAGAUCCCUCACAUGCACAGUUCACAGUAGGGUUUGCGCUGCUAUGAGAAUCUAAGGCUGCCACUGAUCUGACAGGAGGCAGAACUCAGGUGGCAAUGCUUACUGGCCCACUGCUCACCUCUUGCUGUGCGGCCUGGUUCCUAAUAGGCCAUGGACCCCCACAGACGGGUACUAGUCUGCAGCCUGUGGACCCCAGCCCUAGGGGCCUGCCAUUCUGAGUGAGUUAUUAGCAUGAAGAAGAGGAAGAUCUGGAUCAAACGUGGGUGAUGGUACUCAGAGACCCAAGAUAGGAUAGGGAUGGAACAAAAUCCAUCUGGGCAACGGCUCUAUGAAAAUUUGGCUAAGUAAUUAUUUCAGUAUUCAUUGUAUUCAUUGUCCUUCGUGUUCCAUAAGUUAAAUGACUGUCUAAUUUUUCCAAAAAUUUAUUUCUGACUUGAGAAUAAGUGUGUCAUGAUUUUCCCAGUGUAAAGACACUGAUAUAACUGUAGAUACCAGACAUUUUAUGUAGUGUCUAUGACACAUUUUAGUAUGUAUGAGCCAACAAUAGACAUGUCUUUGUCUUGAGGAGUGUCCAUCUGAAUUGAAAAUGUGUCAGCUUUUUUUUAACAUCAUCAACAGACUUCUUAAUUAAGCUGCCAAUACAUACUGCCAAUAGCACUGUGUGCUGUCUGAGAAAUGCAUUGUGUAAGUGCUAUUUCCAUCUUAUUAAAUAAACAAUGUUGCUCUGUAUAAACUGGAUUUAAAGUGUUCUUUGAAUGAGGCAUUAUAUUGCUCCAUAAAUAAUGUGAUGUGAAUUCUCAUAUGAUCCCUUUUAACUUAAUUUCUAAAAAAAUAUUAUUUGCUCCUCAGUAAGGAAUAGCUCUAAUUGGACUGGUAACUUUAGUGAUAUGAUUUGUCUGUAACAGGCUGAAUCGCCCCACUCCCAAACUCCUGGUCGUGAUACUGGAUAUUUGUUAUGCCACUUUUAGUUUGCAUGAGGUAUCUUCCAGGAAGUAUUAGUUAUUAACUUGUGUUCUACUAAACUGUAGAUAUUUAUUUCCUGUUCUGGAAGAUUUCUUGGAGUGUCCAUCUGUGCAUUCCUGGUGCCUAGUGUAGUCUUGCUAAUGGAAUAGCACCUUUAUUGGUGCUACUUAGGGGUUGGUAGCUUACAAUCAAUCUACUUGGAACGUAUCCAAAUAAACUGGAUAUUUUUAUACA